CAUAGGUUGAGGAGGCGGUGACCGUGGCGGUGUAGGUGGAAGCAGCGGUGGAGGAGGAGGUAGCCAACACUGUUUUUUAUAUAUAUUUUAUUUUAUUGGGACAUAUAAAAAAAGACAACUCUGUUGCGCAGAGUAGCUGUUGACAUUAUAGUUGUGCAGGCACUUUGUUGACUCUAGAGAACCUCAGGCCAAUCGCACAUCCCUGUGACGGCGACUUUGCAUUCAGAUGUCAUCUCUAUCAACUUUUGAUGCCAGUUUCUGCGCCUACCUUGGUAGGUAAUGGGGAAUCAGGGUUCCAUUCUGUACAGGGACCCUGAAAAACGGCUACCACAUGCAAGGAAGGCAGCAGGCACGCAAAUGACCCACUCCCGACGCGGGAAGGUAGUGACGUCAAAUAACAAUACAAGACUCUUUAGAGGCCCUGUAAUUGUAAUGAGUCCACUUGAAAUCCUUUAACUCUGAUCAAUUGGAGAGAACUUUGGUGCAGAGCCACUGACCCAUGCGUGCUGCAGCUGAAACUCCACUAUCACCUGCUUCUGCUCCAACAGUCUCU